rnacentral:rRNA from 1 species
GAGUUUGAUCUGGCUCAGGAUGAACGCUAGCGGCAGGCCUAAUACAUGCAAGCUGAACGGUAAAUAUUGUAGCAAUACGAUAUGAGAGUAGCGUAAGGGUGCGUAACACGUAUGCAAUCUGCCCUGUACAGGAGGAUAGCUCGGCGAAAGCCGGAUUAAUACUCCGUAAUAUUAUUGGGAGGCAUCUCUUGAUAAUUAAAGUCGCAAGACGGUAUGGGAUGAGCAUGCGUCUGAUUAGCUAGUUGGUGGUGUAACGGACCACCAAGGCGAUGAUCAGUAGGGGAACUGAGAGGUUGAUCCCCCACACUGGCACUGAGAUACGGGCCAGACUCCUACGGGAGGCAGCAGUAGGGAAUAUUGGUCAAUGGAUGCAAGUCUGAACCAGCCAUGCCGCGUGCAGGAAGAAGGCCUUCUGGGUUGUAAACUGCUUUUGCCGGGGGAUAAAAAGUCCAUGCGUGGACAAUUGAAGGUACCCGGUGAAUAAGCCACGGCUAACUAC